rfam:Gossypium hirsutum cultivar TM-1 chromosome 20, whole genome shotgun sequence
AGUCCAUGAUGUAGGCAUUUCUGGAUUAGUAUUUUAAAACGCUCUCAAGCUUCAAGAAAACUCUACUCGUCUAGUUGUUUGAAAGUUGUAAUCUCUCUCCUUAGCU